rnacentral:rRNA from 1 species
UUACCUAGGCUUGACAUGUGGUGAGUAGCGAACCGAAAGGGGAGCGACCCGUCAAAUCGGGCCAUCACACAGGUGCUGCAUGGCUGUCGUCAGCUCGUGCCGUGAGGUGUUGGGUUCAGUCCCGCAACGAGCGCAACCCUCGCCCUUUGUUGCCAUCGGGUAAAGCCGGGCACUCUAAGGGGACUGCCAGCGACAAGUUGGAGGAAGGAGAGGAUGACGUCAAGUCAUCAUGGCCUUUAUGCCUAGGGCCACACACGUGCAACAAUGGCCGGUACAGACGGAGGCAAUGCCGAGAGGCGGAGCAAACCCGAGAAAACCGGUCCCAGUUCGGAUUGAGGUCUGCAGCUCGACCUCAUGAAGUCGGAAUCGCUAGUAAUCGCAUAUCAGAACGAUGCGGUGAAUACGUUCCCGGGCCUUGUACACAC